CAAAAAGGAGUUUGGGCAGUUUCAAGAGGAGACUAGGGCACAAUUUCAAGGUCUAAACGAUAUGCUCCAACAAGUUAUGCAUGGGCUGGAUAGGCAGGCCACCCAGACAGACCUAAUGGUGGAGCAUAUUCAAAAGAUGGCGGAGAUCGGAGCAUAAAAAUCAGCGAUUCAUUGAUGAUAUGGAGUUUGAUCUAGCAGGUUGCUUCAUGGACCCUGUGCCACCACCGCCGCCCCCUCCU
rnacentral:lncRNA from 1 species